rnacentral:tRNA from 1 species
GAAAGUUUAGUUAAUAAAUAUAACAUUAGUUUGUCAAACUAAAAUUAUCCUCAUAAAUUUUGAUAACUUUUU